CGAACGGGUGAGUAACGCGUGAGGAACCUGCCUCAAAGAGGGGGACAACAGUUGGAAACGACUGCUAAUACCGCAUAAGCGCACAGUAUCGCAUGAUACCGUGUGAAAAACUCCGGUGGUACAAGAUGGACCCGCGUCUGAUUAGCUAGUUGGUAAGGUAACGGCUUACCAAGGCGACGAUCAGUAGCCGACCUGAGAGGGUGACCGGCCACAUUGGGACUGAGACACGGCCCAA
rnacentral:rRNA from 1 species